GCUAAGUUCGGUAUCGAUAUGGUGCUCCUGGGGGAGCUCGGGACCACCAGGUCGUCUAAGGAGGGGUGAACCGGCCCAGGUCGGAGACGGAGCAGGUCAAAGCCCCCGUGCCGAUCAGUAGU
rnacentral:SRP_RNA from 12 species